UAGGCCAAAAGCCAACAAGAAAAGUCUCCAAUCUCUGACCGCUAGGAAAAAGGAGACGAAAAACUAAUCUAAUUGCAGCCGGAGAAAACAAAAGCAAAGAAAAGGCGUCUGACCCAAAAGUAGAAAAAGAAAACUAAAGCUAAGGUCUUGAUGACUCAUCCGUGAAUCUGGCUCUGCUUUUCUAUUUUUAGCGCCGCCAGGAGCUAUCAAACGUC
rnacentral:lncRNA from 1 species